rnacentral:rRNA from 1 species
GAUGAACGCUGGCGGCGUGCCUAAUACAUGCAAGUCGAGCGAAUGGAUUAAGAGCUUGCUCUUAUGAAGUUAGCGGCGGACGGGUGAGUAACACGUGGGUAACCUGCCCAUAAGACUGGGAUAACUCCGGGAAACCGGGGCUAAUACCGGAUAACAUUUUGAACCGCAUGGUUCGAAAUUGAAAGGCGGCUUCGGCUGUCACUUAUGGAUGGACCCGCGUCGCAUUAGCUAGUUGGUGAGGUAACGGCUCACCAAGGCAACGAUGCGUAGCCGACCUGAGAGGGUGAUCGGCCACACUGGGACUGAGCCACGGCCCAGACUCCUACGGGAGGCAGCAGUAGGGAAUCUUCCGCAAUGGACGAAAGUCUGACGGAGCAACGCCGCGUGAGUGAUGAAUGCUUUCGGGUCGUAAAACUCUGUUGUUAGGGAAGAACAAGUGCUAGUUGAAUAAGCUGGCACCUUGACGGUACCUAACCAGAAAGCCACGGCUAACUACGUGCCAGCAGCCGCGGUAA